AUUUUCUUAAUUUUUUUCUCUACUAUUUUUUUUCUUACACUAAAAUUGACAAACUGUAUGGUAUAAAAAAAAAACAAAUUAAGAAUAAUACCGGGCUUUCUUAAAUCUAUGGCUUUAAUUACUCGGUAGAAACCAAUAUAUUAUCCUUUGCCUUGCUUUUCCCGCGCAAUAUUCACGCGUCUAUACGAAAUUACUAGCCACCUAAAAGAGCUCUCUUAACCGGCCUAAUUGCCGCUAAAAUUCCACGGCCUAAACUAUCAGAUCGAAUCACAAGGACUCAAGAUAAUUUUACUGUAACACCUCCUAGCCUUUGAAAAUAAACGCGGUAUUUUUCCCUUACAAACUGAUUAUUACUUAAAUCCUAAGAACUAUAACCUAUCUUAUUACUAAAUCUUUAUACUGAAUAUUAUAUUUUUUUUCUCGAAAUUUAUGAUUAUUAACUCUUUUUUUCUUUUCUUUUAGUUCCAAAAAAGGAGACAGCAAAUUUUAUGGACGUCACAUAUAUAUAUAAAUAUAUCUAUCAAGGACAACACAACGUUUACGCUUCUUUCCGGAGGAAACAGAUUUUGAACGCCAGGCAAACCCUGAAAUGAAGCUGGACUUGUUGACUGGUCCUUUUACAAUGCCGGCGUUCUGGGCGGGAUCAAUAACAGGCACAGCAAAAAGCUCAAAGUUGCAGCUGGCCAGUUUACAAUUCAAAUCUCCACACCCUCAAUGUAACUUUUUUUGGCUUUUUUCUCCUGUGGACAACUUGCCACUACCUUGCGUUACCAAAAAGAAAAGGCAAUUUCCCGCCGUUGUGCUGACCAAAACCGGACAAUUUUCGGUGCUUCCAAAAAAGCUUGAUACACCACCGGAAUAUUCCUGUUGGAGCAACACACAUCACAUAUAACAACACAUUACUCAACAAACCACUGUUACAAACUACUUACACAAUAAAAAAAACGCAACACACAAAUUAAAUUUUUCCACUUCUUCACUGCUCUCUAGCUAAGUUUCACCGCUCACCCCGGAGUAGUAGUAGGUUCCCACCUACUCAGCAAUCAUAGGGCUGCCUAGUCACUUCUUAGCCUGAGUCACCCUGUCAUUCACUACCUUUAUAAUACUCUUUAACUCAACCCUGUUCGAGCCUAAUUUCGUACGUAGCGAACCCUAUCAAACCAUUUCCGGCAUUUUGAUCCCAUCGCCACCCAGACUACACACCCCGCAGAAAUUACAAGCAAAUUGAAAUCUCGAAGCAUCCUCACCAUCCUCACUAAAAACCCAAGAAAACUGAGCAAAUCCAUUUGAGGACCAAUUAUGGGAUGCACUACCAACAGAAUUGGGAUAAUUUCUGCGGUGGUUGUGGACAGGUUUUGCCAAAAAACCCGGCCCCAUAUAUUUGUUGCCUUUUUGCGCCGAAUGUGAACGGCCUGCAACAAAACUUCAACUUCGGCCACAAAAUCGAGGACGGAGGUGAUGUGCACGGCCGCAUUACUCAUUUACGUGGGGACAUCCCACUCCCUGAAGGUCUCAUGCCGGGCAUAAGCUCCGAACAGCAGGCUGGUCAAAGCCCUCCCCCUCAUGCUGAUCUGUGAAACAUGUCUUGCUAGUUCGCCUGAUAAUUCUCGAUCCGACACCCUGAAAAUAUCGUGUCACUACCAAACAUCGAUCGAGUUCCGAGUCCGGGAAACUCGCUGGUAAUUCCCCUAUAGCAGGUCAACAUUUGGGAAGAUCAAAAACGCUCAUAAAUUUUACAAUACGCAUUCGGUUAUUUAUAAAAUCCCGCAUUCAGUAUUUCUACUAAGACAAGUUCAGAGGAACGGAUGGGAUUUAUCGGCCCACUCCUUUGGGACCUUCACUACAAAAAGGUAAACAUCCGGAACAACCCAAUAAUUCUACCAACCCAAGACCUUGUGUGGAGUUGGAAUAUAUUUGUCCUCUCUGGCGGAUCCACACUGGUAACACCCAACAGCUCUAAAUGAAAAAUUCUCCGAUUUCAUCAAAAUUUCACACAUUCUUCUUGGUUAUGGAUAUAAUCUUCAAAGUUGGAAUCUAUACGUACUUUGAUACACAAAUAAUUUGAUCAAAUUAUUGAAAUCAUGGUACAAUAAAAAAGUAAGGUGGUGAAACAUUUUGCAUGCGGAAAUAUUUGUGCCUAUGCCUGUCUUGUCGUCGUGGUUGCCGAAGAACGGAUUUUGUAUGCGGUAUUUGCUGAUGUGAUUGAUAGGUAAACAAAUACCAUAAUCGUGGUGUCUACGUGAUUGUCUGGUAGAAUGUAGUUUUAUGUAUGUUCGCUUUUUAUGUAUGGGAAUCUUUCAUUAAUUUAUGCCGGAAUAAACCAGAUUGUGCUAUUUUUAUCGCCA